rnacentral:rRNA from 1 species
AUUGAACGCUGGCGGCAGGCCUAACACAUGCAAGUCGAGCGAGCGGCGGACGGGUGAGUAAUGUAUGGGGACUGCCCGAUAGCGGGGGAUAACUACUGGAACCGGUAGCUAAUACCGCAUACUAUCGGAUAACCCAUAUGGGAUUAGCUAGUAGGUCAGGUAAUGGGUCACCUGGGCGACGAUCCCUAGCUGGUCUGAGAGGAUGAUCAGCAAAACUGGGACUGGGACACGGGCCAGACUCCUACGGAGGCAGCAGGGGGGAAGAUUGCACAAUGGGCGCAAGCCUGAUGCAGCCAUGCCGCGUGUAUGAAGAAGGCCCUAGGGUUGUAAAGUAAUUUCAGUCGGGAGGCGUUGCCGACAGAAGAAGCACCGGCUAACUCCGUGCCAGCAGCCGCGGUAAUAC